UAUGUGAGGUCUGUGCUUUUCCUUUUUUCAGAUUGUCUUGGAUUCAGAUUAUACCUUGUUUGGUGGCUUCAAUAGGCUCAAUCAUACUGCUGAGUACUUUACCUCUGAAGGAUGGUAUGAUGAUCGGCCUCAAUCUUUUCUCGUUUAUGCGCAUUCUAGAACAACGGUGGUGUAUGCCCUUGUGGAUAAAGAGGAAUCAGAGACAAUUGAGCUGUCGGUUGGAGUUGAGUCAAAGCCAAUUGAGCUGUCACUUGAAGUUGAAUCAGAUCCAAUUCAACAUUCAGUUGAAGUUGAAUCAGAGACAAUUCAAUAGUCAGUUGAAGCUGAACCACGAAGACAAGUUUCUGAGAAGAAUAUAUCAAUUUAAUAAUGACAUGGAUGCAAUCAAGUCAAAACUAGCAACCAACUUAUAUGGUGAUUAGAGCAGGCUCUGAAACUUUAAGGCUGAACUCAAUCAAAAUAUGUGGAGCCCUUAUGUUAACAUUAAUCUUUAGUGGGGCAGCAAACUAACGUUGAAGUGUUUGUACACGUGGCUUGCUAGUUCAAUUAUGUAUAGCACGUCAAGCUUUUUGUUUUUA